GAGAUGUCUUGGGAUGCUGCCAUGGUAUCUAGACUUCUCUGCUGUGUGGCCCUUUGUCUCCUGGGAGCAGGCCCAGUGGAUUCUGGAGUCACUCAGACCCCCAAACACCUGGUCAAAGCAAGAAAACAGCAAGUGACACUGAGUUGUUCCUAUAUCUCUGGGCACCGCUCCGUGUACUGGUACCAACAAGCCCAGGACCAGGGCCCCCAGUUCCUCAUUGAAUAUUACAACGGGAAGGAAAGUACAAAAGGAAACAUCCCUGACCGAUUCUCAGUGGAACAGUUCAGUGACCAUCGCUCUGAGCUGAACAUGAGCUCGCUGGAGCUGACGGACUCGGCCCUGUAUCUCUGCGCCAGCAGCGAAAACACAGCCCUGCAUGCUAGGCAGCCUGCUGUCCAGACUAUAGGCCUGGGAAGAUCUCACAUCAUCUGUGCUUGUUGUAACCUCUCCCCUGACAACUUCAUGUACAUUUGA